UGGGGAAUAUUGGACAAUGGGCGCAAGCCUGAUCCAGCCAUGCCGCGUGAGUGACGAAGGCCCUAGGGUUGUAAAGCUCUUUCAGUGGUGACGAUGAUGACGGUAGCCACAGAAGACGCCCCGGCUAACUCCGUGCGAGCAGCCGCGGUAAUACAGAGGGUGCAAACGUUGUUCGGAAUUACUGGGCGUAAAGAGCGUGUAGGCGGCACGUUAAGUCGACUGUGAAAGCCCAUGGCUCAACCAUGGAAGUGCAGUCGAUACAGGCAUGCUAGAGUCCCGGAGAGGGUGGUGGAAUUCCCAGUGUAGAGGUGAAAUUCGUAGAUAUUGGGAGGAACACCAGUGGCGAAGGCGACCACCUGGACGGGUACUGACGCUGAGACGCGAAAGCGUGGGGAGCAAACAGGAUUAGAUACCCCCGUAGUCC
rnacentral:rRNA from 1 species